GACGAACGCUGGCGGCGUGCUUAACACAUGCAAGUCGAACGGUGAAGCGCCUUCCUUUUUGGUGGGUGUGGAUGAGUGGCGAACGGGUGAGUAACACGUGAGUAACCUGCCCCCUUCUUCUGGAUAACCGCAUGAAAGUGUGGCUAAUACGGGAUAUUCUGGGUCUGUCGCAUGAUGGGUCUGGGAAAGAUAUUGUUUCGGUGGGGGAUGGGCUCGCGGCCUAUCAGCUUGUUGGUGGGGUGAUGGCCUACCAAGGCGGUGACGGGUAGCCGGCCUGAGAGGGUGGACGGUCACACUGGGACUGAGACACGGCCCAGACUACUACGGGAGGCAGCAGUGGGGAAUAUUGCACAAUGGGAGCAAGCCUGAUGCAGCGACGCCGCGUGAGGGAUGGAGGCCGUCGGGUUGUAAACCUCUUUCGCCAGUGAAGCAGGCCUGCCUCGUUUGUGGGUGGGUUGACGGUAGCUGGAUAAGAAGCGCCGGCUAACUACGUG
rnacentral:rRNA from 1 species